AACAGGUUAGCAACUAUGGUUUUGGGAAACGCACACCUGAAUAAUGAUUCAUGAGCCAUAAUUUCCACAGAUCGGGACUUCGGAACGCGGAUCGCAAAUCAUUCACUCAAUUGAAUCGACGGGAAAUACAUGCUUCCACUUGCUGCUGUCCUGAAUGAAGGUCAAACUUGCUGCCUAAGUUCUUCCAUGAUCAGAGUCUGGGCCGCUGGUGGAUGAAGUUACGAGCCGAUAUAUCUGGAAGCAGUGGCGCAGACCUCGGAAUGGAUCCGUGGAACAGUUAAAGGGCUGACUGCAGACUGCCAUCUGUGCACAACCAGAAGCGUGAGCUCUCCAGAGAUCAGAGCCAGACGGUGGAAACCACUGCAGCAUCAGCAAGAUCGAAU